UGUAAGAUGGAGAAUUGGCAAAUGG
rnacentral:misc_RNA from 1 species